CUUGGGGGCAUUCCAGUCCCACUUGAGAUAACCGUGAGUAAGCUGGGUGGACAUGCAGCUCGAAGCACGUCGCCUCCUUCUCUAACGUGUUCAGCCUCCAGCCCCCUCGCCUGGGUGGGUAGCAGGGUGUUCUGAAAGGCCUUCCUUCCCUCUGUUCCCAGAGGAUCUCGUUCUCUGCUAUCUCUGGGAUCUCUCCUUGCUGCCUCUGUCUGCUCUGAAGUCAUGUGGCUGCUUGCCGCCCCAGUCCCCUCUGUCCUCCUUCCCAAGGUGCUUUGCGAGCAGGUGCUCCCUACCGGAAGCCAUGUCCUGCAGGUGUCCUCCCUCCGGGACACUCUUGUGUCUGACUUUAUUUAGCCUUACCUGUGUCUCUAUUCAGAGGCCUGUCUCUCUCUCAGUGUUUACCAGAAUCUGUUUUGUUUCCCUCAGAAGGACUCUGGGUAGAAGUCUAGGUUCUUCCUACACGUUACUGUGAUGUGUGUGAAAUUAGGUAGCGAGGUCACAGGUAAAGGCUGUUUCUUGGGAAGCUUGCCCGAUGUCUUAUUAUUAACUAAAAAUUUAUUAGGCGAGGGUUCUGUAUGGGACAGGAAUGCACACAAGUUCGGACCAGUGUAUGACUCAUUGGCUUUAAGGAAUUCAGAAGUGGUGGUUCACUGGGGAAGUCAGCCUGAGAAAUAGCAGAGAGGAAGAGGAAGAGAGAGAGAGGAGAGAACGUGGGGAAGGGCAGGGGAGUGAAAGAUGUGGGAAAGAGGAGCUGAGAGGGCCUCUGGUGGGUAGAGCGGAGUAAACAGAGCACUCCAAGGCCCUGUUCCAUAGGGUACAGCCCAUCAACAAUUCUGCCAUUCAUAUGGAACGGAUGGACAUCCCAUUAGAACAAACACAAGCAAACAGCAAUAACCAAAGCUCAAGAACAAAGAAACCGCUAUCUCAUUUAACCACAGCAGACUCAUGCCCUCGUGACAGGAGACAGGAUGUGGAUCUGGAUUUGUGCAAUCUUUGCUAAGGUGCGCGCGCUCACCUAUUUACCUGUUCAUACUGACUUUUUAAUUUUUUUUCCUUUUUGGGAGGGAGGGGGCAUCGUCACAUUCUUUGGCAAUGAGAAUUUGCUUGUCCCCGGGGCUUAUUGAGGUAGGGCCUCAGCACAUUUUUGAUGAAUGACUGCAGAGCACAGCCCGGUUGCUCCAUGGAGUGUGGAAGCAUACCUGGAAAUGGGCUCCUCAGGGGACUGGGGGAGGUAUUAGGUCCAGGUGCACUCUUUCAGAUCACUUGGUCUUAAAUUCUGAAAGGGGAGAGGAACCGUGUAAAGUCUCCGGAGCUGGGUUCUUCUCGUGCGGCCAGGAGAAAGGCCGUUAGAAGCCCUGGUGAGAGUCAUCCCGCAGGACUUCAGCGAUGUCUUUUUAUCUCACAAACCUUUCUUUACGCUUCCCACAAACUCUCCUCUUCUUCCUGUGCCACUUCCCUGCUUGCCAAAGGACCUCUAGCUUGCUUACUGUGUGUCAGGAUCAGAAAGUUUUGUAGAAGAUGAACGUUCAGUAGUGAUUUAAUAAGGCUUGGCGUCCAUGAGGACUGACCGUCAGCUGACAGGAACCCAGCAAACCCUUUCCUCACCCAGGGAACAGCUACGGCUACCCACAGAGGUCUUAAUAUCAUGUUAACAUAAAAAAAGGGCGCCAAUAAAGUUAGAUUGUUCAAGCAUAAACUAACUCCCCCAAGUCUACCCUACAGUUCAUUUCACCAACAACUCCUAAAUUGAAGCAAUCUCGAGUGGAAGACUUGUUCUUUCCUAUAAAGUGAGAGACUAUAUGCAGAGAUGUAGGCACUUAAGAAGAUCC
rnacentral:lncRNA from 1 species